GUUUUGAGUUUGGUUUGAAAAGAAGGUGACUGAUCCGGCACAACUGUCCAAAUUAUUCAAUUGGUGUUUCACAUUUGUGAAAAUUGGUUCCAGUAAAUUUCAGUGUUUGUCCCAAGUAAGUUUGAGGUAAUAGCACAAAGAAACCAGUUUGUCCUAAGUCCUAACUAUCCACUUCCACUACAGGUCUGCCGCUCCAAACCCUAACAAUGGAUUACGCGGGUGGUUCUGGUCGGAGUGAAAAGAAUGAUGGAUUUUUUAGAAAUAUUGAAGCUUUUCAAAGCUGUAAGAGUUGGAACAGGUGAAGCUGACACAGAAAGAUCGAAGAAGCUGGAACAAUUGGAGAAUAAUUAUAAUAAUGUGAGGAAUUUGUUUAUGAUUUAUGUGAAUUUGCUUUCUAUGUGUAAUACAGUUGGUCAUGCUUUGAUUACAAAUAGAGAAAUCAAAGUUAUUUUAAAUUUAGCAGUAGUUAGUUAAUGUUGUGAGAUUGUCUUUUAACCUUGAUUUUUA